CCACGCUGUCCCAGUUGAUAGGCUGAGAAACACCAAUUAGGGAACACAGGAUCAUAUCCAAAACCAUUUGAUUGUUGUCAUAUGGAAAGUUAUUGUUUUCUGAAAAACCACGACUCAUCUUUCGCUGCUUACACCUGGCGGGCUCCCAGGCCAGCGCAAAGCAGCGGGGCGGGCGGCGGCUGCUCCUCUGGGCGUAGAGCGGGGGGACGGAGCCGUUUCCUGAGGAGAGGCGCCGGACGGCGGUGACCCCAGCAGCAGCAGCCCAGCACUCAGCCACCGAGCCGUACGCCGGCCACUUC
rnacentral:lncRNA from 1 species